rnacentral:rRNA from 1 species
AGAUUAAGUUAUUAAGGGCGCACGGUGGAUGCCUUGGCACUAGAAGCCGAUGAAGGACGUUACUAACGACGAUAUGCUUUGGGGAGCUGUAAGUAAGCUUUGAUCCAGAGAUUUCCGAAUGGGGAAACCCAGCAUGAGUUAUGUCAUGUUAUCGAUAUGUGAAUACAUAGCAUAUCAGAAGGCACACCCGGAGAACUGAAACAUCUUAGUACCCGGAGGAAGAGAAAGAAAAUUCGAUUCCCUUAGUAGCGGCGAGCGAAACGGGAAGAGCCCAAACCAACAAGCUUGCUUGUUGGGGUUGUAGGACACUCUGUACGGAGUUACAAAGGACGACAUUAGACGAAUCAUCUGGAAAGAUGAAUCAAAGAAGGUAAUAAUCCUGUAGUCGAAAAUGUUGUCUCUCUUGAGUGGAUCCUGAGUACGACGGAGCACGUGAAAUU